CGAUAAGCUUCGGGGAGCUGCAAAUAAGCAUUGAUCCGGAGAUUUCUGAAUGAGGAAACUCACCUGGGUUCAUACUCAGGUACAAUACACUGAAAUUCAAAAUAGGUGUAUUGAGGGAACCGCCUGAACUGAAACAUCUAAGUAGGGCGAGGAAGAGACAUCAAACGAGAUUCCGUAAGUAGUGGCGAGCGAACGCGGAAGAGGGCAAACCGAGAGUAGAAAUACUUUCGGGGUACGGACUGCUUUUAAGACUUAAUCUGUUAACCGAACGGCAUGGGAAGGCCGGUCAGAGAGUGUGAGAACCACGUAGGUGAAAA
rnacentral:rRNA from 1 species